rnacentral:rRNA from 1 species
ACGGGAGGCAGCAGUGAGGAAUAUUGGUCAAUGGGCGGAAGCCUGAACCAGCCAUGUCGCGUGCAGGACUACGGCCCUACGGGUCUUAAACUGCUUUUGCAAGGGGAUAAAGUGGGGCACGCGUGCCCCUUUGCAGGUACCUUGCGAAUAAGGAUCGGCUAACUCCGUGCCAGCAGCCGCGGUAAUACGUAGGGAGCAAGCGUUAUCCGGAAUUACUGGGUGUAAAGGGAGUGUAGGCGGGACUGUAAGUCAGAUGUGAAAUAUGCCGGCUCAACUGGCAGACUGCAUUUGAAACUGCGGUUCUUGAGUGAAGUAGAGGUAAGCGGAAUUCCUAGUGUAGCGGUGAAAUGCGUAGAUAUUAGGAGGAACAUCAGUGGCGAAGGCGGCUUACUGGGCUUUAACUGACGCUGAGGCUCGAAAGCGUGGGGAGCAAACAGGAUUAGAUACCCUGGUA